UGUGGCCUGUGCAAGAUCGCGAUGCGGUUGUUUGUGAGAAAAUCGGCGAUUUGUGUAGAAAUGGGAAUUUAUUUAUUAUUUUCCUGAUACGUAUCAGUUUAAAAAGGUACCUAUAUAAUCAUUUGAAGUUUUAUUCCCCAAUUCUACCCCAAAAAUCCCAUAUCUCACAAACAAGCUCAUCAGAGAUGCAAUAUGCUCUGAUAUGAAUUUUGUAUGCUAUGCUUUUGAGAUCAUGCUUUCAAAUCCGCCGCUGAGAAGACUCCCAGUGAGCGACCAUUCAUGUCGGACACUUCGUAGGAACUCGUUCCCUUCUUGGCGACGAUGAUGCACGGGACGUACGUAGGCCCAAGCUUGGCAUUGAAGGACUUGUUCGCCGCCGACUGCUGGAAGGAUCUCUUGAAGACACGCUGUCCAACAUCGAACACCGAUUUUCAUCGACCUGUUCAUCAACCACCUCGACGGAUUCCAUCGUUGGCCUGAUGCCGAAUUUUUGCCAGAAGUCGUAGCCAAGGAUGCACUUCCUGUUCAGCUUCGGCGCGAUCAUCACGGACAGAAUCUUCGUAACACCAUUGAACGUAAUCGGCGAUUACGCAACGCACGUUCGGCUCCGCUGCGCGAUGAAUCAAAUGGGAUGUCGCGGAUCUUCAGCUCAUGUUCGAGUUCAUCAACGGUCAAAUGACCCGUAUUCAUUCCGCGAUACAGUGACAACAAAUGAACCAUAUCCAUCUUGAGUGCAAGGAAAAUCAAAGAUCUUGUAAUUAAAAAGAAAAUUUA